AUUUAUAUAGUUUAACAUUUAAAACCUUUCAUUUUCAAUGAAAAAAUAAGAUUAUAUUUCUUUAUAAAUA
rnacentral:tRNA from 1 species